UAAGCAACCACAGAACCACAAGUCGUGUGACAAGGCAGUCACACAAGAGUGGAUCCGGAUUCUUGGUCAUCAGAAAAAAGCAAAUCAUUUUAAGUGAAAACCACAGACUUUCAAACAGAGACCGCCGUGAAGAAGCAGGAAGUGCAAGAAAGAAUUAAUAGCUUCGAGCAGCAUGAUCGACUCAUUUCCUCUAUACCAACCGUGCUUUGUAAGAGAUCAAAAACUUUUUUGAAGGAGAGAAAACAGAAGUUUUGUGAGUCACUAAUUGAAUCACGGACGUUCCUUAUGGUUCUCCGAGGGCAUCAGACAAGCUUCUUUACUCGGCACUAAACAAAACCCUUGGAUGUAGCCGGACGUCUGGAACUUUGAAGGAUCGCUGAUUCAGAGGCUAGUGUGUGGUUAUGUUCUUGUUUUUGCCACAAAAGGAGGUUGUUAUAAAACCAUGCUCUAAUAAGAUCCAUGUGAAGAGGUGAAAAUGCUUUUGUUUGCUAGAAAAAUACUUGUCCAAAAC